GAUGAAGACGUAGCGAAAUGCGAUAAGUAAUGUGAAUUGCAGAAUUCAGUGAAUCAUCGAAUCUUUGAACGCACCUUGCGCCCUUUGGCUAUUCCGAAGGGCAUGCCUGUUUGAGUAUCAUGAACACCUCAACUCUUCACGGCUUGCCGUGAUGAGUUUGGACUUUGGGGGUCUUGCUGGCCUACGAGCCAGCUCCUCUCAAAUGUAUUAGCUUGCCGGUGUUUGGUGGCAUCACAGGUGUGAUAACUAUCUACGCUUGUGGUUUUCCACUAGGUAACCUUCAGCAAUGGAGGUUCACCGGAGCUCACAAAUGUCUCUCCUUGCCAAGGACAGAUUUUGACCAUUUGAUCUCAAAUCAGGUAGGACUACCCGCUGAACUUAAGCAUAUCAAUAAGCGGAGGA
rnacentral:misc_RNA from 1 species